CGGACGUGUAUAAAUUGGUAGGGUGAGUAGAGUGGACGAGACACAUGGGAUUUGGCUGGGUUGUGUUGUGAUCUACACUAAUACAUAAGGUUCAUCAUUUGGUGGUUGUCAUUUCCUGGUUGUCAUUUGCUGGUUGUCGCUGAGAUAGUUUCACAGUGCCUACACUUAAUAUUUACACAGGUUCCCGCGUGAGCAGACUAUCAUGAACACCCCUCUACUCCUGACUCUCGUGGUCCUGUGUCUGGCUGCAGCCGUCUGCUCCCAGGACCCCAUGAAGGACAAAGUCCUCUGCAUCAUCCCCAGUCUGUCCUCCAGACGGUGCCGGAACACGGCCGCAUCCAACGCCUCCGGCAACAACGACCCCAAGUCCGCCUGCUCAAAGCUCGAAACCUUCCGGUACUUACUUCCCUUUGUCGGCUGCUCGUCUGACGACUACAAGAAACUUCACGCGGUCGUCUGCGAGCAUAAAGAUGUACCCUGCGCCCCUGCUGUUUAGUGAACUCUUUUAAGUUUGUUUCGUCACACUUUGUUGGUUGGUUUAUAUUUUAGAAAAAUGUUGUUACAUAAAGAUGGGUUAACUAAAUGUAGUGUUUUCUGUUUUAUUAUAGUUCGAUCAAUUAUUUUAAAUCAUGUCUUUUUCAUUUAAUUAUAUCUUAUCAAAAAGGUCAAACUUAAAAAAAAAAAGAUUGUGAAAAUGUUUCCGUUAGUUCUACCUACUGAACCACACCGCUUAUGUCACGUUUCUCGGUAACUGACCUAAUUAGUCAGUAGUCAUCCAACACAAUUUUACAAUCCAUUUUUUUUUCUAAAUUAUUUUUUUAUUGUUUUACUCAAUAAAUUUUUUACUUGUUUAAAUAAAAUAGUUUUGUUUUAAUUGACUGUACGGUGUGUGUGUGUGUGUGUAGGUGUGUGUCUGUGUGUAGGGGGAGGGGUGGAGCGUGAGAGGGAUGGGCCAAGAGAGGAGGGGAGUCAAUGAUUGAAAAGAAAUAGAGGAUUAAAAACAGUCAGAAUGUUUUAGUAUAUUUUUUCUAAAAAAAAAAUGCCAACGCUCUGCCUUGAUGAGUUGAAGGUUAUUUGAAAAAUUUAAAAGUUAAAAUGAAAGGAAUAUUGAUCUGCAUGAAUGUAAAGAGGGAAUGUAUAAUUGAUUAUGUAAUGUAUUACACUUUGUAUCUAUGCAGUAAACAUGUUUAC